rnacentral:rRNA from 1 species
UACGAAGGGUGCAAACGUUGCUCGGAAUUAUUUGGGCGUAAAGCGCACGUAGGCGGCUUGGCAAGUCGGAUGUGAAAGCCCACGGCUCAACCAUGGAAGUGCAUCCGAAACUGCUGAGCUUGAGUACUUAAGAGGAUCGCGGAAUUCCCGGUGUAGAGGUGAAAUUCGUAGAUAUCGGGAGGAACACCAGUGGCGAAGGCGGCGAUCUGGGAAGAUACUGACGCUGAGGUGCGAAAGCGUGGGUAGCAAACAGG